UACGUAGGGUGCGAGCGUUUGUCCGGAAUUAUUGGGCGUAAAGAGCUCGUAGGCGGUCUGUCGCGUCGGUCGUGAAAACUUGGGGCUUAACCCUGAGCUUGCGGUCGAUACGGGCAUGACUGGGAGUUCGGCAGGGGAGACUGGAAUUCCUGGUGUAGCGGUGAAAUGCGCAGAUAUCAGGAAGAACACCCGUGGCUAAGGCGGCUCUCUAGUACGGUACUGACGCUGAGACGCGAAAGCGUGGGUAGCAAACAGG
rnacentral:rRNA from 1 species